UGUUAAAUAUUUCAUCCAUUUCUAUUGUUAAAAAUUGAUGCAACUGACGAAAUAAUCAAAUAAUUACACGCGACGUGCCAUGUGUAACUCAUGCUGACAUAUAGGGAUCAAAUUUUAAUGGUAAAAAUGGAUGAAUUUCUUAACA
rfam:Gossypium hirsutum cultivar TM-1 unplaced genomic scaffold scaffold1842.1, whole genome shotgun sequence